UACGACUACAUAUCAGGCAUAUCAAUAAGCGGAGGAAAAGAAACUAACAAGGAUUCCCUUAGUAACGGCGAGUGAAGCGGGAAGAGCUCAAAUUUGAAAUCUUCAAGGUUUUACCUUGACGAAUUGUAGUUUAAAGAAGUGUUUUCUGUUGAAGUUUUGGUAAAAGUUCUUUGGAAUAGGACAUCAUAGAGGGUGAGAAUCCCGUAUUUGACCAUUAUUUUCAGCUGUGUGAUACACUUUCAAAGAGUCGGAUUGUUUGGGAAUGCAGUCCAAAAUGGGUGGUAAAUUUCAUCUAAAGCUAAAUAUUGGCGAGAGACCGAUAGCGAACAAGUACCGUGAGGGAAAGAUGAAAAGAACUUUGAAAAGAGAGUUAAACAGUACGUGAAAUUGUCAAAAGGGAAGCGUUUGACACCAGUGUUGUUUUCUCGAAAAUCAAUUAAAAAGAGUUGGAUUUUGUGUUGUAUUGACCUUAACAGCUUGCUUCACUCUUUUCCAGCUUUUUUUAAUGCACUUUUCGUUUAACAAGUCAACAUCAGUUUCUUUUGUUGUAAAAGGGUCAUUGGAAGGUGGCUUUCUCUUCGGAGAAAGUGUUUAUAGCCUUUGAUCUCUGCAAUCGGAGAGACUGAGGUCUGCAGCGUAGAUCCUUCGGGGUUAGAUACAUUUGUGCUAAGCUACAGCUUUUCAUAGACAACUUGUUGACUAUGUUUAGUCUUGUGACUUACCCGCUUAUGCUAUUUUACCUACGCUUAGGAUGUUGAGCGCAUGUCUCUCUCU
rnacentral:rRNA from 1 species